AAUUUUGCCCAGCAACAAUAUCAUAGUCCAUGAGGUUUAUCCAAGGCACGAUUAUUGCUAAUUGAAAAGGCCUGCUGGGACUUAAACUGGGAUUACAUUGCAUCUACAGAUCAAAAUUUGAGGAGAAUUAACUUAAU
rnacentral:snRNA from 1 species